rnacentral:rRNA from 1 species
UACGUAGGGGGCGAGCGUUGUCCGGAGUUACUGGGCGUAAAGCGCACGCAGGCGGUCUGUUAAGUUUGGAGUGACAGUUGGAGGCUUAACUGCCAAAGUGCUUCGAAAACUGACAGACUUGAGGGCUUCAGAGGGACACGGAAUUCCGGGUGUAGCGGUGGAAUGCGUAGAUAUCAGGAGGAACACCUGUGGUGUAGACAGCUUACUGGACCACUUCUGACGCUGAGACACGAAAGCGUGGGUAGCAAACAGG